UACAGAGGUCUCAACCGUUGUUCGGAUUCAUUGGGCGUAAAGGGUGCGUAGGCGGUCGUGCAAGUCGGAUGUGAAAUCUCAGGGCUCAACCCUGAAACUGCAUUCGAUACUGCGUGGCUAGAGUGCUGGAGAGGAGACUGGAAUUUACGGUGUAGCAGUGAAAUGCGUAGAUAUCGUAAGGAAGACCAGUGGCGAAGGCAGCCCCCUGGGAUAAUAUUGACGCUCAUGCACGAAAGCGUGGGGAGCAAACAGG
rnacentral:rRNA from 1 species